GCGCUAUUAGCUCAAUCGGAUAGAGUAGCUGGCUUCGAACCAGUUGGUUGGGGGUUCGAGUCCCUCAUGGCGCGCCA
rnacentral:tRNA from 1 species